rnacentral:rRNA from 1 species
AGUAAUGUCUGGGAAACUGCCCGAUGGAGGGGGAUAACUACUGGAAACGGUAGCUAAUACCGCAUAACGUCGCAAGACCAAAGUGGGGGACCUUCGGGCCUCACACCAUCGGAUGUGCCCAGAUGGGAUUAGCUAGUAGGUGGGGUAACGGCUCACCUAGGCGACGAUCCCUAGCUGGUCUGAGA